UCAACUCAUAAUUUCAACCAUAGAUUCAAAUUUAUCAAAAUAGAGUUUACAAGUAAUUAUUGUUAUUGUUACAUACAUAACACUCCUAUAGUAAUUGCGGAUGUUUACAAAUAUUUAUAAAUAUUAGAGGUACCUAGCUAAAUAGGAAUUACUGUACAAAUGUAGUUAUUAAUUCAACAAACUCUGUGGAGGAAGGAAAAACAGAGCUUCGAUUAAAUGCAAAAUGGAGUUUGGUUUCCUGAAAAUUUUAAAGGAAACGGGAGUGAGUAUAAAACUUAAUGAAUAAUAAUAAAUAAUGUAUAGCACAGGCAUUCACACGAAAUGCAUCCUAAGAUACUAAAAUGAACACACAACUAGUCAAGCAUAUGGCACAACAUCAGCACUCGCAAGUAAUUUCAUCUUCAAAUAAUCAAACAAGUGGAAAUUAGUCAGUGGCAUCACCGAAACUCCCGACGAGCUGUCCUCCCACAUGGCCCGCCUUCUCAAAGGUGUGUACUAGGGAGCCGAUCCCCAAUACAUAGCUGACCAGUUUAAUCCUCACUUGACCAGCCCUCUCAUUUUUUUUUUAUACUCUCUUUUCUUUUUCAUACCAACAGGAAGUCACUCUGUGAUUUAUCCAUAUCAUAUAUCAUCAAACGGACACAGGGGCACCAAUCUCCCCAUACAUGGCCGACGGUAUCGAAGACCGCCCUCAUAAAUCCAUGUUGACCCAUUUUAUCCUAAUUCCACACAAACAAGGCACAACAAUAUCACAAUGCAAAUAAUCAAACAAUUAUUCAAUAGAAUGCAUCAAGAUAUCAAUUAACAUGCAGACUUAAAGAUAUGAUAUAAAUAUAUCAAUAUAACCAUAUAUCAAUAAUAAUAUAGUAAUAACAAUAAAAUGAUUACUAACUUAACAUUUAUAUACUUCUUUAUAUGGUAACUAAUGUAAGCAUGCUUAUAAUGGUAUAUGCACUAUUUAUUAUUACUCACAGAGGGAUCCGAAAAUUCUAGUCCUGUUGAGAACCAGGAGCGAAGGAGGAAGAAGGUCCCGCUCUAUCACCAGCUAGAAG
rnacentral:lncRNA from 1 species